rnacentral:lncRNA from 1 species
GGGGUGGGGGCGCUGGACGCAGACCACGUUAGAACCUCGGCUCCUGGAGUAGCAGAACCUCGGCUUCAAUGGGACCCUCAUUUCAUAAAUGAAGAAACUGAGAUUCAAAGAGGGGAACUACCGAAGGUUACAGAGCGAGUUCGUGGGCUUCCCAGAUGACCACCAAGGUGGAAGGGAUGAUGAUGUCCAGGCAGAAGGGAGCUAGGCCGGCCCAGGCUUUUCCUCUAGGCACAGCGGACUCCAGGUUCAGCCUUCCCGGAUGGUAAUGUUGCAUUCUGAAGAGCUACUUUCCCGCCAACUCAUCUCUGGACUUCUCUGGGGCCCAACUCUGGUUUCCUGCCUGCAGGAGGUCCCCUCUGACUUCCGACAGUAGAUGACCCUUCUGACUCACAGUUCUACUGCUGGGAAAUGCCUCCAGAGCUGCUGCCCACCCUCUCUGCAUCCCUCCAGGUCACUGGGUGUUGAGUCAGGGGAAGCAGGGAUACACACGGGCGGGAAACUCAGGUCUCCUAAAUGUCAGAGCCUCAGGACUUCGGCUACUCAGAAGUAGCUCCCUCCUGGGCCACCAGGGAGCAGCAGGGCAGCCAGCAUCCAGACAUCCCCCCUGGGUUCUGCUGCUCAGAGGCUAGAUGGAGAACCAAGGUGGGAAAAAGGCUUAAACCACAGCGUGGGGAGAUUUAGGUUAGAUGGGUCAGAGGAAGUUUAGGACAAGCCUUGCCCUUUUCAGUUUCUGUCCAGCUUCAGCACAGCCACUGCUUCCUCUCUUUGGUUUUUACCCAUCCCCCUCUCUCCCAUCACCUCUAUCCCCUUCCAGCUUUCCUUUCCUUCCCUCCUUCCCAAACCCCAGAGUUUCUCAGGAUUAGCUGCCCGUGUGCCUAUCUCCCCCACCCCCAUGCUUUCCUCACUGUCUCACAGAAACAGGCAAACACACACACAUGCAUACAACCAUGAGCUGGCCCUGAGAGUUCUCUGACUGGACUGGGGUUGGAGCCCCAGCUCUUGUCCUGAGCUGAGGCCCUUCCCCCAGGUAUCUUGGGGCUUCCAUCAUUUCUCUUGACAGGAGCUGUGGGCGUCUGGGCAGAUGGGAACCUGGGGGAGGUGUGGGGAGCCCUCUCUGAGGCAGGAAGCUCCCACGCUACUGUAGUUAAAAUAAUCCGGCAGCAACUUGGGGCAGCCAUCUGGGAUGCCCAGAUCUUCCAGGACACCCAGCUCUCAAC